rnacentral:rRNA from 1 species
AUUGAACGCUGGCGGCAUGCUUUACACAUGCAAGUCGAACGGUAACAGGCCGCAAGGUGCUGACGAGAGGCGAACGGGUGAGUAAUGCAUCGGAACGUGCCCAGUCGUGGGGGAUAACUGCUCGAAAGAGCAGCUAAUACCGCAUACGAUCUAUGGAUGAAAGCGGGGGACCGUAAGGCCUCGCGCGAUUGGAGCGGCCGAUGUCAGAUUAGGUAGUUGGUGGGGUAAAGGCUCACCAAGCCAACGAUCUGUAGCUGGUCUGAGAGGACGACCAGCCACACUGGGACUGAGACACGGCCCAGACUCCUACGGGAGGCAGCAGUGGGGAAUUUUGGACAAUGGGGGCAACCCUGAUCCAGCAAUGCCGCGUGCAGGAAGAAGGCCUUCGGGUUGUAAACUGCUUUUGUACGGAACGAAACGGUCUGGAUUAAUACCCUGGGCUAAUGACGGUACCGUAAGAAUGAGCACCGGCUAACUACGUGCCAGCCGCCGCCGUAACAC